rnacentral:rRNA from 1 species
CGGGGUGAGUAACACGUGGGUAACCUGCCCAUCAGAAGGGGAUAACACUUGGAAACAGGUGCUAAUACCGUAUAACAAUCGAAACCGCAUGGUUUCGGUUUGAAAGGCGCUUUUGCGUCACUGAUGGAUGGACCCGCGGUGCAUUAGCUAGUUGGUGAGGUAACGGCUCACCAAGGCAACGAUGCAUAGCCGACCUGAGAGGGUGAUCGGCCACAUUGGGACUGAGACACGGCCCAA